rnacentral:rRNA from 1 species
CUACGGGUUGCUGCAGUGGGGAAUAUUGCACAAUGGGCGCAAGCCUGAUGCAGCCAUGCCGCGUGUAUGAAGAAGGCCUUCGGGUUGUAAAGUACUUUCAGCGGGGAGGAAGGGAGUAAAGUUAAUACCUUUGCUCAUUGACGUUACCCGCAGAAGAAGCACCGGCUAACUCCGUGCCAGGCAGCCGCGGUAAUACGGGGGGUGCAAGCGUUAAUCGGAAUUACUGGGCGUAAAGCGCACGCAGGCGGUUUGUUAAGUCAGAUGUGAAAUCCCCGGGCUCAACCUGGGAACUGCAUCUGAUACUGGCAAGCUUGAGUCUCGUAGAGGGGGGUAGAAUUCCAGGUGUAGCGGUGAAAUGCGUAGAGAUCUGGAGGAAUACCGGUGGCGAAGGCGGCCCCCUGGACGAAGACUGACGCUCAGGUGCGAAAGCGUGGGGAGCAAACAGGAUUAGAUACCCGGGUAGUC